rnacentral:lncRNA from 1 species
UUUUGUAACUCCGUGCCAGUUUCGGCCACUGAGCAGCCGUUUUCAAAAAGUUAAUUUUAAAAAGUUAAUAAAUGGAUUAAAGGAAGAAGGAGAAAAGUAAAGUAAAGUUAUUUGCUCUUUCCAUAUAGGGAGUUGAAGUACAGAGCUAUUUUAGAAUUUUUUACUUUGUACUUUGUGUUGCACAUCCUUUGAUGUCCUUUAAACACUGCAUUUUAAUUUUGGAGUUUAAAAACAAAGUCCUUGGCAAAGUUUGCUCUUAAUAGCUAUUUGCCUUCCUACAAACAAUUUGUGUAAGAAAAA